GCAAAAUGGCGGCUGAUGGAGAGGAAGAUUGAACUAGAGAGAAAACUUUUACCUCUAUGAUGGCCACACAGAAGCCCGGGGAGUGGGUUCAGUCUCUGAUAAACAGAUUUGAUGCACAGUUGCCGAUAAAAACAGGCCUGCACACAACCCAAGCAAUACAGAAUGUUGAACAAAACAAGGAAUGUUUGAUCAAUGUGUCAAGAUAUAAGUUCCGAGAAGUUAUAAAUGGUCUCACCAAAACUCUACAGUCUGUUAAUAAUACUAGAAUCAUUGGUCAGGAGGCAGAGCGUAACUAUUUUGAGUCCCAGCUUAUUAUUCUAGACACCCUGGUCAAAGUUCUCAACUCGCAACCAAAAGAUACAUCAAGACUGGAUGAGGCUAUCUAUGUUAAACUCCUGCUGCCAGAAAUAUGUAAGUUCCUGAACCUACAGUCAGACACGCCAUAUGUUCUACAGCUCAAGAGUUUGGCAUCGAAGGUCCUGUUUGCUCUCAGUCUUAAUGCCUUUAAUGCAGUGUUCAGCAGGAUAUCAGCUAGGUUGAUGACACUGUCUACGUGUAGUGAAGAUCAGUCGGACUUGUCGGACCUUGAGCUGAUACAGCAUCUAAACGUGGAUGUUACACGACUCACCAAACUACUCAGUGAUGUGGUGUCCAAGUUUCGUCUAGUGAAAUCCAAACAGGUUAUAUCUGCUUUGGCACAUAACCUUGAAAAGGCAAUAUGGAAUUGGAUGGACAACUACCCUGAGGAGUUCACAGACUUACAGAAACAACCUAAUGAAGAACUUCAAGAUUGUUGUGACAAGCUGUUUGAGCAGUACCUGUCCUACAUGGAAAACUCUACAAAGAGAAAGGCCUCUGUGUGGCCUUUUCAAAUGAUGCUGCUCAUUCUAUGUCCAAAAAUUUUGGAGGAGAUAAACAAUGCAGAUGGUGGAGCCCCUUGUUCACCCCAACAUCUUAAGAAGAAACAUUUUAUUGAUGAGGUGAAGAAGACGAUUGCAAACCAUCAUAGUUGUCAUAAAUCGUUGGCGGAGGGUGCAGCAGUCACGUGCGUCCGUCUGUGUAAGGCGUCUACAUACAUCAGCAUUCAUGAUAGACUCAACGUUCUCUUCAGUUUAGUGCAGUCUGUGAUAGGAGAUCUUAAGUCCUUGUUAUUCAACCCACCACCAAACAGUAAGACAUUUACCCGAGGUCAGAGUAUUGUGGGACAGGAUUUGGAUCUAUAUAUAGAUUGUUUUGUUUCGUGUUUUCGGAUCACCCCACACAAUAAUGAUGUUCUGAAGGUCUGUCUCAAUCCACACUCUCCUCCCAUUUAUCAUUUUGUGCUGGUCAAUGCAUUACACAGAAUUAUUACACAGCGACGUUUGGCAUGGUGGCCCAACAUCAGUAUAAUAUAUGGAAAGGCUGCGGAGUUACGUAACAUGUUUACAGAUACACUCAAUAAAGUUACCCAGGGAAUGGGCACACACACAACUCAAAAACCUACUGGGGUAGGAGGGCUGCCAUAUAGUUUAACGAGAAUCAGCAUACUGACCAAACCUACCAAUGAGACGAUGACCACCUACAGAUAUCUACUGCUGUGGAUAGUACGGCUGAUACACGCAGACCCUAAUCUUAUGUUACAUAACCAGGGUAAGCCAGGACACGAGAUACAAAGCAGUACACUGGAGUUAAUCAACGGCCUUGUAUCAUUGGUGCAUCAACAAUGGAUGCCAGAGGAUGUGGCACAAGAGGCUAUGGAGGCAUUGUUGUGUUUACAUCAGCCGGUAAACAUAGAGUUAUGGAAUCCUGAGGCCCCUAUAAAUACAUUCUGGGAUGUCAACUCACAAGUAUUGUUCUCCAUCUCUCAGAAGUUGAUCCAACACCAGAUUAUUAACUACACAGAAAUCUUGAAGUGGUUACAGGAGAUUCUGGUAUGCCGUAACAGCUUCCUGCAGAAACACAGUUCUAAUGCGAAUGUAGGCAGUAACAUACCUGUCUGUAAACAGGCUCAUAUCAAAUUAGAGGUUGUGUUUUUCAUGUACCUGUGGAGUAUUGAUAUAGACGCUGUGUUGACGGCAAUGUCAUGUUUCCACCUCCUGUGUGAGGAGGCUGAGAUACGAUGUGGGGUAGAUGAGAUGGCCGUAACGCAGUUACUGCCCAACUACAACGUUUACUCUGAGCUGGCUGCAGCUGCUACUGUUCUUACUACAGGUCGGGCUGCCUUGCAGAAGAGAAUUAUGGCUUUAUUGAGAAAAAUCGACCAGUCAACACCAGGCACAUCACAGGCAUGGGAUGACACUUUCCGAAACUGGGGUGUAGUCACAAGUUACCUGGAGGCAUACCCGAAGGACCACAAAGUGAAGAUAGAGGACAAUGCAGUAACCCUGGAGGCAAUAAGACUGAGACGUAAACCUUCACACCAUGCUAAUACUGAACAUGAACUUGAGGACCAGUUAAAUGAGUGGGCCAAUAUGACGGGGUUCCUGUGUGCUCUAGGUGGAGUCAGGUUACAGAGCAAGGUUCAUAGAGCAAGUGCUACAUGUCUAGCUCUGGACACAAGGAAAGGCAGCCUGAUGCAGAGCUGUGCCACUACAGACUCGCAGUACUGUCCUGUUACACAGUUUAUCAGCAAUUUGUUGAAGCUGUUGGUGUGUCAGAAUGAGAAGUUUGGUGCUCAGAUUCAGAAGCAUGUGAAGGAACUUGUAGGUCACGAGCUCAAUUCUGCUCUCUAUCCUAUACUCUUCGACCAAAUCAAAAUCUGUGUGGACAAGUACUUUGAUCCAUCUGGUCAGGUUAUAGUGACAGACCUGAGCACACAGUUUAUAGAGAAUGUGAUAUUUAUAAUGAAGAACAUCUUGGAGAUGAAGCCUGACCAGCCUUGUGAACAUCUUGGUGUAGCCAGUAUAGAACAACUCAUGUUGGCUGUUGUCAGAUAUGUUAGACAUCUAGACUCCACAGUUCAUGCUAUACAGAUCAAGAUUAAAUUGUGUCAACUGGUGGAAGCUAUGAUGUUGAGAAGGGAUGACUUGACAUUUAGACAGGAAAUGAAAUUCCGCAACAAACUUGUGGAAUAUCUAACAGACUGGAUUAUGGGAAAUUCUCACCAAGUUAACAUCCAGGGCGACAUCUGCAGUAUGUCAAGGAAACAUAAAGAGGGAAUGUCAAGGUCGUCAAGUGGGCUUCAGCGGUAUCUUCACAACAACCCCACCCAGGGGCAGGGCUCCUCUAAAGGCUCCGCCCCAACAGUCAACCAUCAACCUGUGUUCUUCCUUACCCAGCCUGCUGUAGUAGACCUGGAUCAGGCCAGUAUGGAGGCUGUGGCAGCACUCUUAGCAGGUCUGCCAUUACAGCCGGAGGAGAGUGAUCGUGGUGAUCUCAUGGAGGCAAAAUCUCAACUCUUUCUUAAGUAUUUGACACUGUUCAUGAACCUGUUGAAUGAUUGUUCCGAGGAGGAGCAGGACAAAGCUAUGGACCCAAAUCGUAAACGAAGUACAUCCAAUCUAAGCGCUUUAAGAAACUGUACAGUUCAGGCUAUGUCCAACCUACUGAAUGCAAACAUUGACAGCGGAUUGAUGCAUUCAAUUGCAUUGGGCUACCACAAGGACCCACAGACUCGUGCAGCGUUCAUGGAGGUAUUGACCAAAAUCUUGCAACAAGGUACAGAGUUUGAGACCCUGGCAGAGACAGCGCUGGCAGACAGGUUCGAAAGGCUGGUAGAACUGGUGACUAUGAUAGGAGAUAAAGGAGAACUGCCGAUAGCUAUGGCGCUGGCUACUGUAGUACCUACCUCACAAAUGGACGAGUUGGCAAGAGUGUUCGUGAAUUUGUUUGAUGCGAAACAUUUGCUGUAUCAGCUGCUUUGGAAUAUGUUCUCUAAAGAGGUUGAGAUAGCAGACUGUAUGCAGACAUUGUUCAGAGGGAAUAGUCUUGCUAGCAAGAUAAUGGCAUACUGUUUCCGUUUCUAUGGGCUCGGGUAUCUACGGGAACUACUCAACCCGCUGAUUAUGGAGAUGUUUCAAAAGGAACACAGCUGCCAACAGAUUUCAUUUGAAGUGGAUCCUGCCAGAUUAGAGACAGGAGAAAAUAUAGAAGAAAAUAAGAAGAAUUUGACGAUCAUCACUCAAAAAGUGUUCAAUGCCAUAGUGGGGUCUGCUCACAAGUUCCCGUCGAAACUUCGCAGUAUGUGUCACUGUUUGUUUCACGUAGUCAAUCAGCGUUUUCAACAAAGUACCGGGGAGGCGGUGUGGACUGUGAUAGGAACAGUGAUAUUUUUACGCUUCAUAAAUCCGGCUAUAGUUUCGCCAUAUGAAUCAGGCAUAAUAGAUGUAGAAGCUACACCAAAGAUAAAACGUGGAUUAACGUUGAUGUGCAAAAUCAUGCAGAAUAUUGCCAAUCAUUUGCUGUUUACCAAAGAAAAUCACAUGAGAGGCUUCAAUGAUAUUCUAAAAGCCAACUUUGAAGCUGGUAGAAGGUUUUUCACUGAGAUUGCCUCUGAUGUUGAUAUACCAGAUACCGGCAACCAUAGUCUGUCUUUCAUUAACGAUGCGAAUGUCUUAGCUCUACACAGACUCCUGUGGAACAACCAGGAAAAGAUUGGAGAUUAUCUCUCCAGCAGUAGAGAUCACAAAGCUGUAGGGCGUCGGCCAUUUGACAAGAUGGCAACAUUACUGGCUUAUCUAGGACCACCAGAACAUAGACCUUUAGACUCACAAUUGUCCAUGACCAAAAUCCACCUGCUGGCAGACUCGAGAUGGAGUUCUAUGGACAUGACGAGUACCAAGUUUGAAGAGAUUAUGUCCAAGCACAACAUGCAUGAGAAGGAUGAGUUUAAGUCCCUGAAAAACCUGCACAUUUUCUACCAAGCUGGCACGAGUCGAGCAGGAAAUCCGGUGUUCUAUUACAUAGCCAGGAGAUACAAAGUUGGUGAAAUCAAUGGAGACCUGUUGAUUUACCAUGUGUUGUUGACCCUGAAGCCAUAUUACAACAAACCAUUUGAACUUGCCAUAGACUUCACUCACACUUGUGCUGAAAACAGAUUUAGGACUGAUUUUUUGUCAAAGUGGUUUGUGGUGAUGCCAGAGGUGGUAUACCAAAAUAUUGUGGCCACCUAUAUAUACAACUGUAACUCCUGGGUUAGAGAAUAUACAAAGUUUCAUGAUAGAAUACUCACUCCACUAAAGGGUAACAGAAAGCUUGUGUUCAUUGACCAUCCUGCAAGAUUAAACGAGUAUAUAGAUUUAGAUCAUCAAAAACUACCUGGCUCUACUGUAGCUCUGGAGGAAGAUCUGAAAAUAUCAAAUAAUGCUCUCAAACUCUCACAUAAAGAUACUAAAGUCACAAUAAAGGUUGGACCAAAUGCCAUACAGAUAACAUCAGCUGAGAAGAGCAAGGUGUUGGGACACCAGGUGUUACUCAAUGAUGUUUACUAUGCCUCAGAAAUAGAGGAGGUAUGUUUGGUAGAUGAUAACCAGUUCACAUUAACCAUUUCCAAUGAGACUGGUCCCCUGUCUUUCAUCCACAAUGACUGUGACAAUAUUGUACAUGAUAUUAUCCACAUACGUACACGCUGGGAGCUGUCCCAGCCAGACACAGUCACUGUUCAUACCAAGAUACGGCCCAAGGAUGUUCCAGGCACGUUGCUGAAUGUUGCACUCCUCAACCUGGGCAGUUCAGAUCCAAGCCUCAGAUCGGCUGCAUACAACCUGCUGUGUGCUCUCACCCAGACUUUUGACCUGAAGAUUGAAGGCCAGCUGUUGGAGACCACAGGUUUAUGUAUACCAGCCAACAACACCAUAUUUAUCAAAUCAAUCAGUGAGACAUUGGCAGCCAAUGAGCCACAUCUUACACUGGAGUUCCUUGAAGAAUGUAUACAGGGAUUUGGAAACUCUAAUAUAGAACUGAAACAUUUGUGUCUGGAGUAUAUAACACCAUGGUUACCUAACCUCACAAGGUUUUGCCGGCAUACAGAUGAAAACAAGCGGCAGAAAGUGGCCCUGAUUCUAGACAAGCUCAUCACCAUGACAAUAGAGGAAGUAGAGAUGUACCCUUCAAUACAAGCCAAGAUCUGGGGAAAUAUUGGUCAAGUGGCAGAUCUUCUCGACAUGGUGUUAGACAGUUUUAUCAAGCGCAGUGUGACUGGAGGGCUGGGUUCGAUACAGGCAGAGAUCAUGGCAGAUACUGCAGUGGCUCUCACAUCAGCUAAUGUACAACUUGUCUCCCGGAAGGUCAUUGGAAGAUUGUGUCGGUUGAUAGACAAGACAUGUACAUCACCAACCCCAACCUUAGAGCAACAUCUGAUGUGGGAUGAUAUUGCUAUCUUGGCGAGAUACCUUCUCAUGUUGUCUUUCAAUAACUCACUUGAUGUUGCCAGUCAUUUGCCAUUCCUGUUUCAUAUUGUUACGUUACUGGUUUGCACGGGUCCACUGUCGUUACGUGCAUCAACACAUGGUCUAGUCAUCAAUAUAAUCCAUUCCUUGUGCACGUGUUCACAACUCCAGUUCUCUGAAAAUACUCUGAAAGUGUUGAAGAUGAGCUUGGCAGAAUUCUCACUGCCCAAGUUUUACCAGUUGUUUGGUAUCAGCAAGGUGAAAUCAGCGGCAGUGAGUGCAUUCAGGACCAGUUUCAGACCCGGUGACAGAUCUUUUACUAUGUCCCCACCAGAGCAUGAGAAGAUGCCCCUGUGUUCAUUAGAAACCAUUGUUGAUGCUCUGCUAGAGAUUAUGGAGUGUCAAUUUCAGGCGUGUAAUAAGGAUAUUCGUAAUUGCGAUUGGCUUCAACAGUGGACAGAUUUAUCAAAGAGAUUUGCAUUCCAGUAUAACCCAGCACUUCAGCCUCGGGCAAUUAUAGUGUUUGGAUGUAUAAGUAAAUCGGUGACAGAUUCUGAGAUUAAACAAAUGUUGAAAAUACUCAUGAAGGCUUUAGAGUCAUUCCAAGAUUUGGUUCUUAUAGAAUCCAUAGUUAUGUGUUUGACAAGGCUACAACCCAUGCUGAGAGCUGAUUCCCCAAUCCACAAAUUUUUGUUCUGGGUGGCCAUUUCGGUGUUACAGUUGGAUGAGGUAUCUCUGUAUGCAGCGGGGUUGUCAUUGUUAGAGCAGAAUUUACACACACUGGAUAACAUUGGAAUCCUGGAAAAUGAUUCAUUAGAGCGGAUCAUGAUGGAGACUCGAGAUCCUCUACAGUGGCAUUUUAAACAGCUUGACCAUGCCAUGGGGCUCAGUUUCAAGGCCAACUUUAAUUUUGCUCUUGUUGGACACUUGUUAAAAGGAUUCCGACAUCCAAUCCAGACAACAGUUUCUCGUACCAUACGUGUUCUUCACCAUCUGUUGGCCAUCACAAGUAAACCUUUAGGGAGGGACAAGUUUGAAGUGAAUCCACAGACGGUGCCAUACCUUGCGGCGCUGGUGUCGGUAUCGGAGGAGGUACGGAGCAGAUGCCACCUGAAACAUCGUACCAGUCAGUACAUGAUGACUGAUUCUCCAUCUAGUGACAGCCUUAGUGCCGAAAUAUCCCAGACAGUGACAAAUACUGCAAACCCUGGUAUGACUUCGGCCCAGUCUAGUGUAUCUGUGGCAACUACGAGUAAUGGAACCAUGCCAUCUGCUACAAGUAUAUCCCAGGCCCAUAGUUCCAGUUCUGUGUCUACAGCAGCAUCAGCUUCAUCGGGGUCUACUACCAGUGUUGCUGCCACACCGCCGCCGACCCCGGCAUCUCCUGCUGCACCACAGACUCCAGUGCCAUCAACCCCGACCCCAACAACCCCUGCUGCAAGCGGCGGGAGUCAGUCUCAGUCGCCCCCGUCAAGUGGUGGACCUAUCCGACAGAAAUCGUGGGAACUAUUGGACCAACAGGCAAUGACUGCGGCAAAAAAGACAUCAUCGGUUCCCCAUCAGAUACAGAAUGCUGCUGCAAAUGUGGCUCAAAGUAACAGUUCUAAGGUGUGGCGAAGCCUGGACAAUGACACCAAUGCCGGAGCAGGGCAAGGGGCUGUAAUACCAACAAGACCACCUCUGUUCAAGACUCAGACCCGCAGCAUCUCCAUGCCUUUGCCGGGAACCAAGAACAUGGAAAAAGGGAAGUCACAAAGCCGGCCUGUACGAGGCUCAGUAUCCAAUGAGAACAAUAUUCUACUAGACCCGGAAGUACUGACAGAUUAUCCAACGCAAGUCCUUGUGCUUACAGUACUGGCAACUCUAGUGAGGAACACAACGGAUGAAAAUGAGGCACGUAUACUGUAUGAGUACCUAGCAGAGGCAUCAGUAGUGUUCCCUAAAGUGUUCCCUGUCAUCCACAGUCUAAUGGAUGCAAAGAUCAAUAACGUACUGAACCUUUGUCAUGACCAAGCGAUACUCAAUGCUGUACAGUGUAUCAUACAGAACAUGAUAGCGUGUGAGGAUGCCUCACAACAACAGCUCUCCUAUCUUAUGAGUGGCCCUGCAAGUGAUCCCUUAGAAGAAUACGGUGACCGUGACCUUAUAGAGCUCGUCAAACUCUGUUCACAGUGACCCUAGGGGUAUUGGUUUUGGUGGUCUGUGGAGAUUUGCUGGGACAUUUACAAAGUCUCCACAAAGCAGUGACACAGCUGAACUGUUUGUCAACUGUUUAGAGGCAAUGAUGGUAGAGACUUGUCUCCCAGGUGAUGACCUUGACA
rnacentral:misc_RNA from 1 species